UCGAGCGAGAACCGUAGCAAUACGGGGACAGCGGCGAAAGGGACAGUAAUGUGUAGGUACCUACCCCCGGGUUCGGGAUAGCUGCGGGAAACUGCAGGUAAUACCGAAUAAUGUCUCCGGACCAAAGGUGUGAUUCCACCUGGGGAGGGGCCUGCAUCCUAUUAGCUUGUUGGUGGGGUAACGGCCUACCAAGGCAACGAUGGGUAGCGGGUGUGAGAGCAUGACCCGCGUCAUUGGGACUGAGACACUGCCCAGACACCUACGGGUGGCUGCAGUCGAGAAUCUUCGGCAAUGGGCGAAAGCCUGACCGAGCGACGCCGCGUGCGGGAUGAAGGCCCUCGGGUUGUAAACCGCUGUCGUAGAGGAGGAAAUGCAGGGGGGUUCUCCCCCUUGCUUGACCUAUUCUAGGAGGAAGUACGGGCUAAGUUCGUGCCAGCAGCCGCGGUAAGACGGACCGUACAAACGUUACUCGGAAUUACUGGGCUUAAAGGGUGCGUAGGCUGCGCGGAAAGUUGGGUGUGAAAGCCCUCGGCUCAACCGAGGAAUUGCAUUCAAGACUACCGUGCUCGAGGGAGACAGAGGUAAGCGGAACUCAAGGUGGAGCGGUGAAAUGCGUUGAUAUCUUGAGGAACACCGGUGGCGAAGGCGGCUUACUGGGUCUCUUCUGACGCUGAGGCACGAAAGCUAAGGUAGCAAACGGGAUUAGAUACCCCGGUAGUCUUAGCUGUAAACGAUGAGCACUUGAUUGGAGGGUCCUCCAUAGCCUUCCAGUCGUAGCGAAAGUGUUAAGUGCUCCGCCUGGGGAGUAUGGUCGCAAGGC
rnacentral:rRNA from 1 species